UACGUAGGGGGCGAGCGUUAUCCGGAUUUACUGGGCGUAAAGCGCGUUAAGGCGGUCGGCAAAGUUGGUUGUGAAAUCUCAGGGCUCAACCCUGAAAUUGCGACCAAUACUGGUCGACUAGAGUGCAAGAGAGGAAGGUGGAAUUCCCGGUGUAGUAGUGAAAUGCGUAGAUAUCGGGAGGAACACCAGUGGCGAAGGCGGCCUCUGGCUUGUAACUGACGCUGUAGCGCGAAAGCGUGGGGGAGCGAACCGGG
rnacentral:rRNA from 1 species